rnacentral:rRNA from 1 species
GCGGCGGACGGGUGAGUAACACGUGGGCAACCUGCCCUGCAGACUGGGAUAACUUCGGGAAACCGGAGCUAAUACCGGAUAACACCGAAAACCGCAUGGUUUUCGGUUGAAAGGCGGCUUUUAGCUGUCACUGCAGGAUGGGCCCGCGGCGCAUUAGCUAGUUGGUGAGGUAACGGCUCACCAAGGCGACGAUGCGUAGCCGACCUGAGAGGGUGACCGGCCACACUGGGACUGAGACACGGCCCAGACUCCUACGGGAGGCAGCAGUAGGGAAUCUUCCGCAAUGGACGAAAGUCUGACGGAGCAACGCCGCGUGAGCGAAGAAGGUCUUCGGAUCGUAAAGCUCUGUUGUCAGGGAAGAACAAGUGCCGUUCGAACAGGGCGGUACCUUGACGGUACCUGACAAGGAAACCACGGCUAACUACUUGCCACCAGCCGCGGUAAUAC